rnacentral:rRNA from 1 species
UACGUAGGGUGCAAGCGUUAAUCGGAAUUACUGGGCGUAAAGCGUGCGCAGGCGGUUUUGUAAGUCAGAUGUGAAAUCCCCGGGCUUAACCUGGGAACUGCGUUUGAAACUACAGGGCUAGAGUGUGACAGAGGGGGGUGGAAUUCCACGUGUAGCAGUGAAAUGCGUAGAGAUGUGGAGGAACACCGAUGGCGAAGGCAGCCCCCUGGGUUAACACUGACGCUCAGGCACGAAAGCGUGGGGAGCAAACAGG